ACAGCUGGAAACGGCUGCUAAUGCCGGAUGGUUUUACCGGGAGACAUCUCCUGGAGAAAAAAGCUGGCCUCUUAACAAUGCUAGUGCUUAAGGAUGGACCCGCGUCUGAUUAGCUAGUUGGUGGGGUAACGGCCUACCAAGGCGACGAUCAGUAACCGGGCUGAAAGGGUAAACAGCCACACUGGGACUGAGACACGGCCCAAACUCCUACGGGAGGCAGCAGUGGGGAAUCUUCCGCAAUGGACGAAAGUCUGACGGAACAACGCCGCGUGUAUGAAGAAAGCCUUUGGGUUGUAAAAUACUGUUGUUAGGGAAAAAAGGCUGGUGUGAAAAUAUUGCAUCAGAUUGAUGGUACCCAACGAGGAAACCCCGGCUAAUUACUUGCCUGCAGCCGCGGUAAUACC
rnacentral:rRNA from 1 species